ACUAUAUCUAGCCCAUACUCCUCCUCAUCACUACUACUAUAAGUCAAUCAAAUAAAACAUUUACCAUACAUCUAAAGUAUAGGAGAUAGAAAUUUAAUUAUCAAUGGCGCUAUAGAGAAAGUACCGUAAGGGAAAGAUGAAAGAAUUAUUAAAAGUAGAAAAAAGCAAAGUUUACCCCUUGUACCUUUUGCAUAAUGAUUUAACUAGUAAUAAUUUAGCAAAGAGACCUUAAGUUAAAUUACCCGAAACCAGACGAGCUACUUAUGAGCAGUAACUAGAACAAACUCAUCUAUGUGGCAAAAUAGUGAGAAGACUUGUAGGUAGAGGUGAAAAGCCUAACGAGCCUGGUGAUAGCUGGUUGUCCAAGAAAGGAAUUUCAGUUCAACAUUAAACAAUACUAAAAACCAUAUUAAGUUCCAACGUAUGUUUAACUGUUAGUCUAAAAAGGUACAGCUUUUUAGAAAUGGAUACAACCUUUACUAGAGAGUAACAUAAAACUUAAACCAUAGUUGGCCUAAAAGCAGCCAUCAAUUAAGAAAGCGUUCAAGCUCAACAACAAAAACAAGUUUUAAUUUCAACAAUAAACAAAAAACUCCUAGCCUGACUAUUGGACUAAUCUAUUUAAUUAUAGAAGAAAUACUGUUAAUAUGAGUAACAAGAAAAACUUUCUCCUUGCACA
rnacentral:rRNA from 1 species